AACGAACGCUGGCGGCAGGCUUAACACAUGCAAGUCGAACGGGCGUAGCAAUACGUCAGUGGCAGACGGGUGAGUAACACGUGGGAACCUUCCUAGGGGUACGGAACAACUCAGGGAAACUUGAGCUAAUACCGUAUACGUCCGUGAGGAGAAAGAUUUAUCGCCCUUAGACGGGCCCGCGUCGGAUUAGGUAGUUGGUGGGUAACGGCCUACCAAGCCUACGAUCCGUAGCUGAUCUGAGAGGAUGANCAGCCACACUGGGACUGAGACACGGCCCAGACUCCUACGGGAGGCAGCAGUGGGGAAUCUUGGACAAUGGGCGCAAGCCUGAUCCAGCCAUGCCGCGUGAGUGAAGAAGGCCUUAGGGUUGUAAAGCUCUUUUACCAGGGACGAUAAUGACGGUACCUGGAGAAUAAAGCCCCGGCAAACUUCGUGCCAGCCGCCGCUGUAAG
rnacentral:rRNA from 1 species